UAUGCACAUUCUCCUCAGUACGAAAGGACAGAAGAAUAGGAUCUAUGCUCCCAACAAAUCCUUCCCCUACGAAACAAUAUUAACCCAUAGGUACCUUCACCCCCAAGAACAGGGC
rnacentral:rRNA from 1 species